rnacentral:rRNA from 1 species
AUGGCACCUCAGCGGCAGCAGCAGCAGCACAAGGCCGCCGUGGUCGCACUCUUCCUGCUGUCCGCCCUCGUGGCUGCGCCCGCCGUUGCUGCUUCCAGGCCCGAAUCCGGCGGCUACGCACCCGCCACGCCCUCCGAGGCCGCGACGCCGGCCGAGCCCGCCGCCAGCACGCCCUCCAAGAAGGCGGCAGGCUACACUGACUCUACGCCGGCCGACACACCCGCUGAGGGGGGAACGCCUGACAAGGCCGCGGCGGGCUACACUGACACUACGCCGGCCGAGCAGCCCGCCGCCGAUGGCACUAAGGUCAAGGUGCCGCCCGGGGAGGGGAAGGCGACUACGCCCGAGCAGAAGUUCAUCGAGAAGGUGAACCAAGCGUUCAAGAAGGCUCUAGACGCGGCCAACGCGGCGGCGCCCGACGACAAGUUUUCGGUGUUCGACGCCGCCUUCAACAGGGAGAUCAAGCAGUGCCUCGCCGGCAUGAGUGCCAAAUUCAUCUCCAUGAUCGACCGCGCCUUCAAGAUAGCGUACAACUCCGCCGUCGCCGCCACCAACGCGCAGGAAAAGUUCUCCUGCUUGGUGCUCACCCUCACAGAGGCCCUCCGCUUCAUUGCCGCCACCCUGGACGCCCACGCCAUCAAGCCAGCCAUCGAGGAGGUGGUUGCCGGAGGCAUGAAGGCCGCGGACGGCGCGACACGGGUCAUCAAGAAGCUCGACACGGUCAUCAAGGCAGCCUCCGCUGCUGCCAAAGAAGCUCCGAAAGCCGACAGGAUCCCCGUGUUCCAAGCCGCCCUCAACAAGGCCAUCAAGGAGCAGAUGGGCCCCGGCUACGACGGGAGCAAGACGACCUCCGAUCUCGACGCGGCGUUCAAAAAGGCCGUCGAAUCCGCCGCCACCUCCAAGCCGGAGGCUAAGGACACCGACGUGGCGGACGCCUUGGCGAAGUCCAUCACCACCAUUGCCAAUGCCACCAAGGAUGGCGCCGAAACUGCUGCCGCGCCCGCCACAGAAGCCGGUACCAAGACUGCAGCUGCCGACGCCGGCUACAAGGCCGCCGACAAAUCCGCUGCCGAGCCCGCUGCCGCGCCAGCUGCCGAAGCCGCCGACAAAUCCGCUGCCGAGCCCGCUGCCGCGCCAGCUGCCGAAGCCGCAACCGCGCCCGCUGCUGAAGCCGCUACCAAGCCCACGGCUGAUGAAUCCGGUUACAAGGCCAAGGCCAAGGCCAAGGCCGAAGCCGCUCCCAAGCCCGCAGCAGAAUCCGCUACCAAGUCCGCUGCCAAGCUCGCAGCCGAUGCCCCUGCCGAGCCCGCUGCGGAAGCGGCUACCAAGCCCGCAGAUGGCAAAUCCGGCUACAAGGCCGCCGCCGAUGCCGCGACCAAACCUGCUGCCGCAGGCGGCUACAAUCUGUGA